rnacentral:rRNA from 1 species
GAUCCUGGCUCAGGAUGAACGCUAGCGACAGGCCUAACACAUGCAAGUCGAGGGGCAGCAUGGUCUUAGCUUGCUAAGGCCGAUGGCGACCGGCGCACGGGUGAGUAACGCGUAUCCAACCUGCCUUACACUCUUGGACAGCCUUCUGAAAGGGAGAUUAAUACAAGAUGUUAUCAUGAGUAAGCAUUUUCGCAUGAUUAAAGGUUUACCGGUGUAAGAUGGGGAUGCGUUCCA